ACUCCCCAGUCUUGCUACUCAUACUUAACUGUUAGUAUUUGCAUAAAUUAAUGAACGUAAAAAUUUCAGAUGAAACUGAAUACCUCCUUUAUUUUAAUCUCUGCCCAAUCCCAUUCACUUCACUUCUUCCCCAGAGGCAAAUGCAAUCGUGAUUUUCAGGCUGUGUUUCUAUACUUUUACUAUGCACAUACACUCACAUUCACCAGGAUCCUACCUCACUCCACCCCACCCUAGUCUACUCCCUUAUAUCCAUAUUAUUUAUAGGGUGAAGAUUGAUUUUGUGUUUGCCAGGAUUGCACGGAACACCCCUGCAUCUGUGGAGAUCCUUAGCUGAAUGUUGGUGCAUAGUCUCUAGGAUACCUGUUUUAAAACUUGAAAAUGAAAGAUUUGCACACACGUAUUAUUCAGAGACCUUUAUUUAUGAACCAGUAACUUUAUUUGGAAGAAAUAGUAAAACUGGAAGAAAAAAAACUUAAGUGAACUUUUUUUUUUUUAUAAGGGCAAUAUAUUGCGAUUUGAAUGCUAGGCAUGGUGACCAGGAAGUCACCAUGUGGUUAUGGAGAAGUCCAGUCCAGGCUCAGUUCUUGUCGGUGUCGCCUAGGGUGAGCUAGUCAAAGAAGUACUCAGCCACACUGUCUUCUGGGGCCCACAUCUUGCGCAUAUUGGUGAGAUGGCACCCCAGCUCUUUGAUAAACUUGACCUGCUCAUGCCAGUAGUUAAGCUCCAGGAAUUCACACAGAUGGGCGUCGCUCUUGUCAGUCGCCAGCUGGUGCAGAUCUAGCACGCUCUGGUUCACGCCCUUCUCCAGGUGCAAGCCGCACUGCGUGGCCUUGAAGCCACUCUACCAGGCUGCUGUCGAUCUUCCUAAUGUCUGAGAAGCAGAGGCGGCUCCCGUGCCUGUUCUGCAGGCGCGUCAGUUCCUGGGCGCCUUUGGUCCACUCAUGGGAGCGGCAUAAGAAGUGGGCCAAAUACUUCAAGGCCAAGUUGUGCCGGUUGAAGUAGAAGGCCACGACCAGGCCUACUUGCUAUCCUCAACCCUGCUCUGUGAUUCCACUCUAUCGGGUUCAUCAACCAAUCUUUCUGUGUCAUCAAGUUUGGUUUGGCUAAUGUGAACUACUGACAAGAGAUUGGAUGUCAGGAAAGAAAG